GUUAAAAAAUACUGUGUCAAAUGUAUUUGAACAAUGUGCGCAUUUCCCACAUCUGUAAUUGCCAUACACCUGUUGAGCAAGCCAAUUCUUCCUGGGGGGUUCUUGAAAUGUAGAGCUGACCACCAUAUCUUGAUCAUAUCCUCUUUGAAUGAAUCGUUGGGACAUUUCUUUGACUUUGAUUUUGUAAUCAUUUUCGUCACUGCAUAUUCUUUUUAAUCUUAUAAACUGUCCAUAUGGGAUGUUUUUAAUGGUAUGUUCAGGAUGGUAACUUGAUGCAUGUAGGAUAGUAUUCCUAUCAGUACUCUUUCUAAAGAUCGAUGUCUCUAAUUGUCUUGUGAGAGAGA